rnacentral:misc_RNA from 1 species
GAGUUGAGUUGAGUUGAAUUGAGUCUGUGGUUGAUCAAUGUUUAGUCAAUCAGUUCCUUGCUUCACUCUUGUUGUUGACUAAAAUUGCCCCUAGUUGUGUGACACAUGGGUUGUUGCUUGUACAACAUAAAAUUUUCCUUUUACUAGUUUAUUAGCUUGGUUCAAAAGUGUAAAUUGUAAUAGUUUAUGGUGGUAAUGAAAGGUGUUUUUGUCCUAUGCUAAUGAGGGGUAAUUUUUUAUAUUUGAAAUUGAUUGGCUAAUGUUAUUUUUAUCUUGUUUGAAAAAUGUGGGAGAAGCAUUUAAAAUCAAUUUCUAAAUAGCAGGGUAAUUUUUGUUUUAUUCUUAUGAGAGAUGUUUCUACGUAAUAAAUGUUUAAAAAAUUGGAAGUUCAAAUCUUUUUCCAUGAUAUUAAAGUCUGCCCAAGAAAGAGCAGCACAGGUAAUUUUCUUGUAUGCAUUCCACUAGCUGUGAUACUUUAAGAUCAUCAGAUGUCAGUAUUAGUGACUUACGGUUUCCUGAAUGGAUCACAUGUAAAAGGAAACGAUCGGCUAUGAUAUU